rnacentral:pre_miRNA from 1 species
UUUUUAGUAUGAGUAUGUCCCGUGCAAUAUUUGGGACAUACUUACACUAAAA